UACUUCCUCUGUCCCAGAAUAAGUUAAUCAAGUGCUGGAUGUAACACAUCCUAGUACUAGAUUAACUUAUUCUGGGACAGAGGGAGUAG
rfam:Oryza glaberrima chromosome 7 Oglab07_0153_7, whole genome shotgun sequence.